GGGGGGGGGGGGGGGGGGGGCGGGCGCGGGGGAGUGGGGCGGCAGGACGGUGGGGGGUUGCUCUGACGGGUGGCGCGUGGCGGGGGGGGGUGGAAUACAUCGGCAUCUACUUUUUCGUGGGGGUUGACGUUGGGCAACUUACGCUACUACCGCCUACGACCUACGGGUGGAAGCAGGGGAUCUUCGGACCUUGCGCGAUUGAACUCGCCGAUGUCGGAUUAGCUAGUUGGCGGGGUAAAGGCCCACCACGGCGACGAUCCGUCGCUGGUCUGAGAGGAUGAUCAGCCACACUGGAACUGAGACACGGUCCAGACUCCUACGGGAGGCAGCAGUGGGGAAUAUUGGACAAUGGGCGCAAGCCUGAUCCAGCCAUACCGCGUGGGUGAAGAAGGUCUUCGGGUUGUAAAGCCCUUUUGUUGGGAAAGAAAAGCAGCAGGUUAAUACCCCGCUGUUCUGACGGUACCCAAAGAAUAAGCACCGGCUAACUUCGUG
rnacentral:rRNA from 1 species